AAGGAGGGGGAGGAAGAGACAGAAGGAUGGAAUGGUCCAGAAUGUCACUGCCUCCUGGUUCCAGGGUAGAGGAACACGCGUUUAGAAAGGAGGAGAGGGGGGGGGGGGGAUGAGACGGAAGGAUGAAGGGAUGAACAGGGUGAAAAGCCGUUCUAAACAGUCUUCCUGUUCUGGGGGAGGAGUUGUUGUUCUCCUUCCAGAACCAGCUAAGUUGCCAUGGAGACGUCAUGGUGCUCGGAACAGGAUGACGGCUGAGUUCCAUUCCGGAAUCUCACUCCCUUCAGUCCCUAGGGGGCGUCACUGAGGGGGCAGAGGGGAUUUAUGCGGCCCAAAUAGUGAUCAUCAUCUAGAUUCAGCCACAGGCAGAUUUUUUUAUUUUCUUGAGUGGCUGGUCAGGGGACCUGAAUAUAAUUACAUAUCAUUUUUGGAAUGCAAAUUGACUGCAACAAGCCCAAACAAAGAGAGAAUUUGACUAAAACAUAAUAAUUUCAAACCUUGCUUACAAUUGUAUACAAUCACAUGUCUAUAUAUUAUGCCUGGGAAUACUUAUGGAAUACCGAAAUGUAAAAUAAUUUGGAACUGAGAGACGGUGUUUUAAAAAAAAAAAUUACAAGCUUUUGUGUUUCAAAAUAAAAGCCCUACGGUCCCUGGUCACUAUAGGGGAUAGGCUGCUGUUUGGGACGUGAAACGAUGAGGUGAGAAUUUUCACCGUGGAGCGGGAGGCCUUCAUCUCCUCAACACAAUGACAUCAUUAUGACAUCAAUCAUAAUGACAUCAUAAAGACCCUUCACGCUCCAUCCCGUGAUGUCACCUAGUGAUGUCAAAGCAUUCUGUUCAAACAAACACGGUUGUAUAAAACCUGUUUGCUGCAGCUGUAUAUUUUUUGAUACAACGCUACGCCUACGGACAUAAAAGGAGAAGUAGUCUGUUUACCUGUAGACGUUAUUAGUGUUUUUUUCUGGGUGGGUAAUGUACAGGUACUAGUAGGUUUUAACACAUGUACAGGCUGGGGCAAGAGUCCCAAAUGGCACCCUAUUCCCUUUCUAGUGCACUACUUUUAACCAGAGCCCUUUGGCUAAUGGCACCCUAUUCCCUUUCUAGUGCACUACUUUUAACCAGAGCCCUUUGGCUAAUGGCACCCUAUUCCCUUUCUAGUGCACUACUUUUAACCAGAGCCUAUAGGGUAGGAGUCCACUCUGUGAAAUAGGGUGCCUUUUGGAAUGCUGCCAGUGUGUUUCUAAACCAUCAACGCUUGGGCUUGUCCCAAAUUACACCCCAUUUCCCCAGCUAGUGCACUACGUGGGGGGGAGAGGAGGGUUAGGGUGUGGUUUGGGACUCCUUGUGUUUUUAUAUGUAAAGGUGUAUAUUUUAAAGCUAGAUGGCUGAGUCCUGUGAGGGCUGUCAUUUUGUUUUCCACGCAGUCCAGACAUCUUCUCCAGGAGACGCUUCAUGUCUGUCCUGUUCAACUGCCUCUGGCUGUUUGUCCCAAUGGGCACCCUAUGUAGUGUGAUACGUUUGAACAGGGUUCAUAGAGUUCUGGUCAGAAGUAGUGCACUAUAUAGGGUAUAGUGUGCCCUUUGGGACAUAGCUUCUUACUUAUGUCCAGCCCUAACCUACACUCUAGGUUGAACCCUAACCCUCUACACUCUAGGUUGAACCCCCUACACUCUAGGUUGAACCCCCUACACUCUAGGUUGAACCCUAACCCCCUACACUCUAGGUUGAAACCCCCUACACUCUAGGUUGAAACCCCCUACACUCUAGGUUGAAACCCCCUACACUCUAGGUUGAACCCCCUACACUCUAGGUUGAACCCCCUACACUCUAGGUUGAACCCCCUACACUCUAGGUUGAACCCCCUACACUCUAGGUUGAUCCCUAACCCCCUACACUCUAGGUUGAACCCCCUACACUCUAGGUUGAACCCCCUACACUCUAGGUUGAACCCUAACCCCUACACUCUAGGUUGAACCCUAACCCCUACACUCUAGGUUGAAACCCCCUACACUCUAGAUUGAAACCCCCUACACUCUAGGUUGAACCCCCUACACUCUAGGUUGAAACCCCUACACUCUAGGUUGAAACCCCCUACACUCUAGGUUGAACCCCCCUACACUCUAGGUUGAACCCCCUACACCCUAGAUUUGGAGUGGGGGCUAGGGAUCGGUUUGGAAUUUGAAAACUGUCUGUCGAUCAUUAAUGUACUGCAACUCUCCCCAACUUCUCCCCUCAGACACCCAGGGCCUGUAUCUGUUUCAGAUCAAAGCUGCUCCAUGGCAGAGCACAGAUCUGGGAUCAGUUUACCCCUAACCCUGUGAUGUGACACCCUAUUCCCUAUAUAGUGCACUACUUUUCACCAGGUUUCAUAGGUCUGUGGUCAGAAGUAGAAGUAGUGUGUGAUAUAGGGAAUAAGGUGUCACUCUCCGGAGAGGAAGAGUGACACCAAGGUUCCUGGACUGUGUGUGUGUUCUAUGUACUAAGUUGUAUUUCUACAAUGAACUGAUCUACGGUGCGUGGAUCUAUGUAAAGCCAAAGAACAUUCGUAACCUGUCUGUGUCUGGACACUGUUUGUCUCUGUCUCUGUCUGUACAGUUAGUCCCGUUGUGAAAUAUCUUGUUUUAUUGUGUAUCUGUCUGUAUGGCAGAAAUUAACUUAGUUAUCCCAAUGUCCCUCAAUAGUCCAGUCUAUAAUGUGGAGUUAAAUGUAUUGGGUUUUAAAUCAACUUCUGGAGAAACAGUGCCUGACUUGUUCUCAGAUCUGGUCGAAGAGGGUAAAUACACAAUAGGAAUAUUUCAUCCCAAAAAAAUCCAAGAUGGUGACCCACUCUAAAUUCAAGAUGGUGACCCACUCUAAAUCCAAGAUGGUAACCCACUCUAAAUCCAAGAUGGUGACCCACUCUAAAUCCAAGAUGGUGACCCACUCUAAAUCCAAGAUGGUGACCCACUCUAAAUCCAAGAUGGUGACCCACUCUAAAUCCAAGAUGGUGACCCACUAUAAAUUCAAGAUGGUGACCCACUCUAAAUUCAAGAUGGUGACCCACUAUCUCCCCCCUCUGAAUUAUUAUUAUUUUUUACCUUUAUUUAACCAGGCAAGUCAGUUAAGAACACAUUCUUAUUUUCAAUGACGGCCUAGGAACAGUGGGUUAACUGCCUGUUCAGGGGCAGAACGACAGAUUUGUACCUUGUCAGCUCGGGGGUUUGAACUCGCAACCUUCCGGUUACUAGUCCAACGCUCUAACCACUAGGCUACGCUGCCACCCCGUUUUAGAUGAGAAAAUGUUGUUUAUCUGUCCAAUAAAUCGGCAAGCAUGUUCUCAUUUUAUAUAAAAUAUAUUUUACGAUUAUACGUUGGAUUAUACCUGAUUUUAGUUGUAAACUACAUUGCCCCUUCUGAAUGGUAUUUAAUGCUGUGUUAUUGGAAGUAUUGGGGGGGGUGUAUCCUGGGUGUGUGCCUUUUUAAUCCCAUCCUAACUUCAAUCACUGAUUGUCAUAACCUGUCAUUACAUGCAUUAGCCUCUAGAUGCUGUUGUUUUUUAAAUCACUGUCAUUUUUGUUUAUUAUUUUCAACCAACAAUUAUGCUGUGUCGGUCUGGACGAGCUCUUCACUAUGUAAAUAUGUACAUUGUCAUAUUUCCUAUGUUUUUAGUCGUCAACCCGCUGCCAGCCAGCCAGUCAGUCAGCCAGCCAGUCUCUGAGGUUUAUAAACUACAGACGACACAGAUUGCUGGAUUCACUUGUACAGUUCUUUUUAAAAAGGUACUUCGUCAAUAAAUACAUUGAAUAAAA